CCCUGUAGCGAGAACCCCGGGAACUGGGGCUAAUCCCCGAUAGGCGAGAACUCCUGGAACGGGUUCUCGUCCAAAAGGCAUCAAGGCUACGCUUCUUGGUAUCGCUUAAGGAUGGGGCCGCGACCGAUCAGGCUGUUGGUGAGGCAACGGCUCACCAAACCUUUAACCGGUACGGGCCGUGGGAGCGGGAGCCCGGAGAUGGGAACUGAGACAAGGUCCCAGGCCCUACGGGGCGCAGCAGUUACGAAAACUUGUCAAUGCACGAAAGUGUGAACGGGCUACCCCGAGUGCCGUCCGCUGAGGAUGGCUUUUCUCUGCUGUAAGAAGGCGGAGGAAUAAGGCGAGGGCAAGUCUGGUGUCAGCCGCCGCGGUAAUACCAGCUCGCCGAGUGGUAGGGAUGAUUAUUGGGCUUAAAGCGUCCGUAGCCGGCCUAUCAAGACUCUUGUUAAAUCCAACGAUUCAAUCGCUGGACUGCAGGAGAUACUGCUAGGCUAGGGGGCGGGAGAAGCCGACGGUAUUUUCGGGGUAGGGGUAAAAUCCUAUAAUCCCGGGAAGACCACCAGUGGCGUAGGCGGUCGGCUAGCACGCGCUCGACGGUGAGGGACGAAAGCUGGGGGAGCGAACCGGAUUAGAUACCCGGGUAGUCCCAGCUGUAAACGAUGCUGGCUAGGUGUUGAAGCGGCUACGAGCCGCUUCAGUGCCGCAGGGAAGCCAUUAAGCCAGCCGCCUGGGGAGUACGGCCGCAAGGCUGAAACUUAAAGGAAUUGGCGGGGGAGCAC
rnacentral:rRNA from 1 species